rnacentral:rRNA from 1 species
AUUGAACGCUGGCGGCGUGCUUAACACAUGCAAGUCGUGCGGUAACAGGCGUAGCAAUACGUGCUGACGAGCGGCGAACGGGUGCGUAAUACAUGGGAAUCUGCCUUUUAGUGGGGAAUAACCCGGCGAAAGCCGGGCUAAUGCCGCAUAAGAUCUUCGGAUGAAAGCGGGGGAUCGUAAGACCUCGCGCUGAUAGAUGAGCCCAUGCCGGAUUAGCAGUUGGUGAGGUAACGGCUCACCAAGGCGACGAUCCGUAGCUGGUCUGAGAGGACGGCCAGCCACACUGGGACUGAGACACGGCCCAGACUCCUACGGGAGGCAGCAGUGGGGAAUAUUGGACAAUGGGGGAAACCCUGAUCCAGCGACGCCGCGUGUGUGAAGAAGGCCUGCGGGUUGU